rnacentral:rRNA from 1 species
UACGUAGGGUGCAAGCGUUAAUCGGAAUUACUGGGCGUAAAGCGUGCGCAGGCGGUUAUGUAAGACAGAGGUGAAAUCCCCGGGCUCAACCUGGGAACUGCCUUUGUGACUGCAUAGCUAGAGUACGGUAGAGGGGGAUGGAAUUCCGCGUGUAGCAGUGAAAUGCGUAGAUAUGCGGAGGAACACCGAUGGCGAAGGCAAUCCCCUGGACCUGUACUGACGCUCAUGCACGAAAGCGUGGGGAGCAAAC